UUUCUUAAAUUAACGACAUAAUAAAAACACAAAUGCAAUUAUAAUAGGCAGAUAAUAUCCUAUAGUAGCCGACUGCUGUAUGUAAGAUGUCAGAAGUUGAACAGGUGGACGUUGACGUCACUUCCACUGAAGAUUCGGCCGAAAAAGACAAGAAUUUAUCGAAAUGCGCAUAUUGCGAAUGUGCUAAAGAUGGAAUUCUUGCGUUUCAUUGCGAUGGAUGUAAAAGUUGGGUCCAUUCAAAUUGCCUACAUUCUGGCCCCCCAAACUCAGUGUUGGGCGAUAAUUAUUUUACGUUCAUGUGUUCCUCAUGCAACGGCGGAAAAGAAACUUACACCAGGAUGAAAGUGACGUGGAUCCAAGUUGUGUCAUUAUCUUUAUACAACCUUGCCCAAACAAGCAUGGGGAAACAGGGAUUCUUUAAGUGGAAAGAAGACAUUUGUCUUUUUAUUGAUAAACACUGGGAUUCAUUCUUUGGGGAAAGCAAAAAGAAGACAAACCAAUGGACAUGUACAGUGGGCAGUGUGCUUUCAGCUGGCAACCCCAUCAGGUUCCAGAGUGGGCACGGCAUAUUCAAGGACUCUGGUUGGUGGAGAUUGGUCGACCCGACACAAGCCCCUGAGUAUGUUCCUGGUGCCGUGAUCAUUAACACACCAAAAUACAAGCCACGUCGCCUCCCGUUUGGAUCGGGGCGAUCCGGUUCACGUAGAAGAUCGCACAUGGUUCACGCUCGGAAUGCAAGGUUAAAGAAAGCUGCGUUGAUUCAAGAAGCGAACUUAAGUGAAGAGAAAAGUCCCAUAGACUCACCCGUGUCAAACGUGUCCAACGUGUCAAAUAUUGCGCAAGAUUCACCUCGGCCUUCCUCGCCUUCAAGUUCUAUUUCAUCCUUGGACUUCAAGACCCAACACACAAAAGAAGCGAAGAUCGACCCCACCCUCCCCCUCAAUGCUAUCAGUGAUGAAUCGGACACCGAGGAUAUUCUGCACCAACGUGGUGGGGAGGGGGGAGUGGGGGGUGAUGGGCAUAGGACUGAAGCGAUGGAAGACACCUCCAGCUCGGUGGCAUCCGUCCCCCCUUCAAUCAAACCAAAUGUCACAAAGUCGAUGUUCCUUCCGGAGAAAAGAGAAACCAAACCCAUUGUCGCAGCUGAGGAAGAUGAUAAACCAAAGAUCCGAAUGAUGAAUUUAUACGAGGAGCGAAAACUUGUGAAGAAACUUCUCCAUCACUCUAAAGUUGAAGAUGAUGUUGAUGGGAGGAGGUUGAGGAGAAAGUUGUUGCUUAGACAGAAGAAACGUCAACUUGGACUCUCUGUUUUCAACUUUGAUGACACAGUACGUAGGUUGUUAAGUAGGGAACAAAACCUCAUCAUACCAACAUCAGAUGGUCCCAAAUAUAACCCGGUGGUUCAACGUGGGGAGCACCGGGUGUUGGAUCGAUUCUUGUCAUCCGACCCCAAGCUAUACGGUGCGGAUGAAUCUCGACGGACUUUCAAACAGAAGCUGGUUGGAUCGAACGAGCUAACAUCCGAACAACAACUGAUAGUCAGUCCUUACACACAAAGAAUCCUGAAGCCGUUCAUUCGAAGAGAUUUUGAAACGAAACCUCCAAAGUUAAAAGUUCUCAUUGAGAUCGUGGAGAAUUAUCAUAAAUCAGAUACAACGUGGCAAGCAGAUGUAGCAUCUCCCAUUGAUUAUUGUUACGUGCGUCCGCGUCACAUACCAACUAUUAAUGCAUUGUGUCGACACUUCUUCUGGCCUGGCAUUGAUCUAUCAGAGAGCUUGCAAUAUCCUGACUUUAGUGUGGUUGCUCUGUACAAGAAAAUGGUGGUAGGGUUUGGAUUCCUGGUUCCAGAUGUUUCAUUCAACCAAGCUUAUAUUUCCUUUCUACUUGUUCAUCCGGAUUGGCAACAUGCGGGUAUUGGGACCUUCAUGCUGUAUCAUCUAAUGCAGGCUUAUCGUUACCAUGUAUCCAACAACUGCUGUACCUACAUGGACGAAUACUGAUUUCAAAAACCUGACAGUUACUAACGUGACAUGCGCCAGCCGACAGAAGGCAUCGUUUCUCAUCUUUUGCAUCGUCCCGUCCAUUUCUAUACUUAUAAACGUGGUUGUACUGGUCGCCGUUCUGAGGAAAUCCAGGAAACUGGUUCGCCAAAGCCACGUAUACGCUCAUGUCAGUUCGACUCUGUUCGCUAACGUGUUGUUCUCGGUGCUCGGGCUUUUACAGCUAAUCAGCUUGUACUUUCACUUCGGGGGCCACCCUGGCGAUCCUGACCCUGCAAGACGUGGUGUCGUUAAACAAGGGUCUGGACAACUAUGGACUUUCCUCAAAGCUUUCCUGUGUGGGAUGUUUAUCAUUAUAUGCGGGAAUAUAGGGCUUUUGAUUGACAGCAUACGUCACACCACGUGUCUUACACUAAGGACGGCUGCAGGAUAUCGUUCUCAUCAAAGCGAAGGGAAUGGGGGAAGAUGGAAAAAGAGGUUGCUGACACGACGACAGCGUUCAUAUAUCCUAAUCGCCGUAUUAUGGAUCGUGCCCAUUAUAUACGUGUUGAUACCGAUAGCUGGUUGGAGCUGCGCCGAAAUCUGCCAAUGUUUGAGCCAGUGCUUCUCCCCAG